rnacentral:rRNA from 1 species
CCUACGGGUGGCAGCAGUGAGGAAUAUUGGUCAAUGGGCGGGAGCCUGAACCAGCCAAGCCGCGUGAGGGAAGAAGGUACAGCGUAUCGUAAACCUCUUUUGUCAGGGAACAAAGGCGGGGACUAGUCCCCGGAUGAGGGUACCUGAAGAAAAAGCAUCGGCUAACUCCGUGCCAGCAGCCGCGGUAAUACGGAGGAUGCGAGCGUUAUCCGGAUUUAUUGGGUUUAAAGGGUGCGCGGGCGGCCUGUUAAGUUAGCGGGAAAAGCCCGGGGCUCAACCCCGGCGAGCCGUUGAAACUGGCGGGCUGGAGUUGGAGAGAGGUACGCGGAAUGCGCGGUGUAGCGGUGAAAUGCUUAGAGAUCGCGCAGAACCCCGAUUGCGAAGGCAGCGUACCGGCUCCACACUGACGCUGAGGCACGAAAGCGUGGGUAUCGAACAGGAUUAGAUACCCGGGUAGUC